rnacentral:tRNA from 1 species
GCGGCGGUGGCGUAACUGGCAGACGCGAUAGGCCCAAACCCUAUUGUCCGAGAGGACGUGUGGGUUCGACUCCCACCCGCCGCACUA